rnacentral:rRNA from 1 species
GACGAACGCUGGCGGCGUGCCUAAUACAUGCAAGUAGAACGCACAGUUUAUACCGUAGCUUGCUACACCAUAGACUGUGAGUUGCGAACGGGUGAGUAACGCGUAGGUAACCUGCCUGGUAGCGGGGGAUAACUAUUGGAAACGAUAGCUAAUACCGCAUAAUAUUAAUUAUUGCAUGAUAAUUAAUUGAAAGGUGCAAUUGCACCACUACCAGAUGGACCUGCGUUGUAUUAGCUAGUAGGCGAGGUAACGGCUCACCUAGGCGACGAUACAUAGCCGACCUGAGAGGGUGGUCGGCCACACUGGGACUGAGACACGGCCCAGACUCCUACGGGAGGCAGCAGUAGGGAAUCUUCGGCAAUGGGCGAAAGUCUGACCGAGCAACGCCGCGUGAGUGAAGAAGGUUUUCGGAUCGUAAAGCUCUGUUGUAAGGGAAGAACGGGUGUGAGAGUGGAAAGUUCACACUGUGACGGUAUCUUACCAGAAAGGAACGGCUAACUACGUG